rnacentral:rRNA from 1 species
GUGAGGAAUAUUGCGCAAUGGAGGCAACUCUGACGCAGCCAUGCCGCGUGCAGGAAGAAGGCGCUACGCGUUGUAAACUGCUUUUAACCGGGAAGAAACCCCAGGACGUGUCCUGGGUUGACGGUACCGGAGGAAUAAGCACCGGCUAACUUCGUGCCAGCAGCCGCGGUAAUACGAAGGGUGCAAGCGUUAUCCGGAUUCAUUGGGUUUAAAGGGUGCGUAGGCGGAGCGUUAAGUCAGUGGUGAAAUCCUGCAGCUUAACUGUAGACUUGCCAUUGAUACUGGCGCUCUUGAGUGCGGUUGGAGUGGGCGGAAUGUGCCGUGUAGCGGUGAAAUGCUUAGAUAUGGCACAGAACACCAAUUGCGAAGGCAGCUCACUAAGGCGAUACUGACGCUGAGGCACGAAAGCGUGGGGAUCGAACAGGAUUAGAUACCCUUGUAGUCC